CAUGUCUUAAAAAAUAAGUGCCCAAUCUGGUGAGAUCUUGGAAGAUAAGCGAGGCCAGUAGUGCUUAGUACUUGGAUGGGAGACUGCUGGGAAUACCAGGUGUCAGGA
rnacentral:rRNA from 1 species